rnacentral:rRNA from 1 species
CAAUAGCGUAUACUAAAGUUGUUGCAGUUAAAAGCUCGUAGUUGAAUUUCUGGUCGUGAAAAGUGGUCCGUUCCGCAAGGAAUGCGUACUGUCUAUUCAUGUCCAUCCUCGGAGUUAGUGUGUAUUACUUUAAUCGGUCGUGCAUACAAUACUUCGUCAUUUACUGUGAGCAAAAUAGAGUGUUCAAAGCAGGCUUAUGCCGUUGAAUAUAUUAGCAUGGAAUAAUAAGAUAUGACUUUGGUCUAUUUUGUUGGUUUGCACUCCAAAGUAAUGAUUAAUAGGGAUAGUUGGGGUGAUUCUGUAUUCAAUUUGAUUCAGAGGUGAAAUUCUUGGAUUUAUGGAAGACGAACUACUGCGAAAGCAUUUACCAAGGAUGUUUUCAUUAAU